AGGUUUAAACUGUGAUAUGUAAAGCCCUUAGAAUAGUACCAAGAAUAUAGUAAGUGUCAAAUGAGUUUUUGUCAUCAUCGUAAUCAUCAUCUGCAAUUGUCACUCUCAUUUGCUGUUUUUGUCUCCUUUCAGUAUAAAUAGAAGCUAUAAUUAGCAUUCACAAGUCACAGUUUAUUUUCAUGUCUGCAUGCCUUAAAUAACCCCAGGUUUAGAACAACUUCUGAGGUUGAAUAUUCCUUAAAAUAUAACUUCUCCUCCCUUGGGCUCAAAGUUGGCCAUUGUAGCCUGGAUGCUCCCACCAUUUGCUGUGAGCUUUUGGGUGGUGAAUGAGUGAUCAGCGUUUUAGCACAGAGCAUUAAGUUCGGUGUCAUUUAAUAAAUGUGCAGCCAUGACCAUUUUUGUGGUCGUGGGGGUCUAGGGGGCAAGGUGGAUAAUUAAAUAUACCAAGAAUCCCCAGACUUUACGUCAUUCUCCUUCUAGGCUUUAUGGUUUUUCCUAACCUAGAACUCCAGACAGGUGGUUUAAUGACUCACCCCAUUCACCACACUGCUGUGUGAUCUGGGACUGCUCUAGCAAGGAGCAGAGAGCCUAGAGAUUCCCCACCUGGGACAAAGAACCAGUGGGCAAUCAAAGGUUAACUUACCUUUGGAGAAAAUCCAGUUUUAUUACCAAGAUCCCUGGAGAACAUUUUCAUUUAGGUAAAACAUGUAGCUAUAUCUUGUUUAAACUAGCCAAGGUAUCUUUCCAUGACAUGCAGAGGCCUGGGGAUAUUAGAUAGAGCAAGUGCCAUUUUCCUGGAUUAGGUGGAGCCAAAUAUGGCUAAUCAGUUUCUUACAUUUCCAUAAGCUGAUAGGGCUGGGACAGAUUGGGGUGAGGCACAUAUGGAGAUUUUCCUCCAUGCUCUGCCUCAAAGGCCCUGAAAUCCGGGUUCAAACUUGGGCUCCUUUGUUCAACAAAAUAUUUGUUGAGCCAGACACAGUUUCAGGUAGAGGCUACACUAACGAACAAGACAGACAAGAUGCCUGCCCUCACGGAGGUUACAUUCUAGACGGAAGGUUAUAAACAAGUAACAGAUUAAUAAAAAGAAAGCAGAAUAAAAAGACAAAAAUGGAUACAGGAAUCUCUUUAGAAAAAAAUGGAUACGGGAAUCCCUUUCAGGGUAGGGGUGAGAGGUCUGAAACCUGCUGAGAGUGAGGAAGCCAGUCGCGUGAUGAUCUGGGUGAGAGAGGCCAGCAGGUAUAAAGGCCCUGAGGGGAGUGGCCAUGGCAUGCACAAGGCUGGCAUGGCUGGAGCAGAGUGGCUGAGCCGAGACCAUGAGGGGCUUCAGCCAGGGGAACUGGAGCUGCAGGCAGGGUCCAGAACAAGCACAGAGGGAGCUUGGAUUUUAUUCCAAGUGUGACUGACUGAAGGGUUUGGGGAGUGAUACGUAGUUUAGGAAAUUCCGUCCAGCUGCUGUGUACAGACGAAGACUACAGGGGAGUAAAGAAGAAUAAUGGAGAUAAGUUCGUUGGUUAUUUUAAGGGUACCUAGACUUUGUUUUAGCCAGAUUUGGUAAGACCUUGAGACAUGGAAAUAACUGCCUUGAAGGGAGCAAUUUAUAUUCACAUUUCCUUAGAAAUAGGAGGCACAGGAUGCCAUGUGGGCUCCCAUGGAAAAGCACCAGGGUCUGUCAGGAUGCAGAAUAAAUGCAGAGAAAUGUAGGCAUAGCCUUUGUAGUGGUUUUCACAGGGAAGAGUGAGCAUGGCAGAUAAGCAGAUUUAGGAUUGGCUGCUUUGAAUACAUUUGAUUGGCUCUGGAGUAUAGAGGCAGUCCCUAGUUGUUUGGGACCUGGCCCCGGGAUAAUUCAGGUAGGUGGAUGGUGAACCACAGUGUGAGAGCCCAAUAAAGGAUGCCAUGUCUGAGCUCUGGACUGGUUGGUUUGCACUUGAAAAGGGUGCUUGCCCUCAGUCAUUUGCUAUCUCUAGGAAGUGGCUGAUGCUGAAAGGAGCAGUGCCUCCAUGGUCAGCAAGUCCCAGGUGUUAUAGCCUCAGAACACAGGAAAUAAAAGCCAUGGUUCACACAGUGGGAGGUGAUGGUUUGUGAAGACCCUGCCAGAAAAGAGGAAAAUGAAUAAUAAUGUUAAAUAAUAAGACCAGAGUCAAGGUGUCAAGGUGUCAAAGUGUCAAGGAAUGGGUCUGAGGCAUUUCCAUAGGCGACGUGUGUGCUCCUACAUUUGAAUUCAUGGUCUUUAGGAGAUAAUUUGAUUCUUGCAGGGAAACAUGUAUUUUAUUCAGAGAUAUUUUAGGGGAAAUUUCCAGAGUCUUGCUGGUGGAGAGAAAUCAAGGUGUAGGUGAAACUAACUCCUCAUCCCCCGCCACGUGUCCCCUCAAGAGCCCCUGCUUCAAUUUCCUUCCUGCUUACUUUCAGCAGCAAACCAGCAGACACCUGAAGUCUCAUUGGGAGUGUCUACUGACACCUAGCCAAAACCUGAAGCAGCAGAAUCUUCAACUUGUAGCAAGAGACAGGAUUCUGUUAAUCUGAGGUUGCAGUGGCUCUGGGGGGAGGGUUUCAGGAGCACACUGCACUGUGGGAGAACCCGAGGAAGACCAGAGGAGACAGGAGAUGCUGAGUAGGAGGAGAUUGUCUACACGCGCCCCUUGAGAAGCCGAGCGAGUGAGCGUUGUCCCGCUGCUUAUCAGAGAGAGAGUAGCUAAGUCAAGGUACCUGACCACCCAGACCCAACUCUGGGCCAUCACUUGCUCUCUUCAGUGCAAGAUCAACUGAAAUCUCCGUUGGUGUUCAGUGUCUUUAAUCUGGGCCACACCGGUGUGGAGGAACUGGGGAAAAAAGCAGCUCCUACGCCAGAAUCACCUGGUGGGCGGCAAACAAGCCUGUUUUGGAUUGCUGGGUAGAGAGGAGUACCAAUCAGUGGGUGACCAGUUUCCCAUCCAAGGAGGUGGUAAGACCGUUCUCACCCUCCUUGUAGCCAGAAAUACCUCCCACCUCCCUCCAGGGACAGAAGGGUGCUAAUGUGCUGUGCCAGCCUAUUCUGUAUUCUUCGUGCCAUGACAUGUCCUCCAAGGUCAUCCAGUUUUAUCUGAUGACUGAUUUUCCCGUAAAACAUCCCCUGUAGGGAGCGCACAGCUUCUCCCCGAAUAUAACCAGUGAUGAAGAACUUAGCUUCCUGAGGAAGCUGGUUCUAUUUUCAGAUAGCGUAGUGCUAAUGUUUGGUUCUACAUAUGGAAAGUCUUUCUGUCUUCCUGAAGCUUCCAGGUACUUGUUCUAAUUUAAGCACCUUGGCACACAAGAUAUGUUUAAUUUCUUUUCUGUUAGGUAGUCUUUCAAUUUUUCAAAGACAGCUGUCUUAUCCUUUUAUAUCUCCUCUUAAUAAGCAAGGGGGUUUCUUCAUUUGUUCUUUGUAUAGUUUGGUUUUAGGUCUCUUCACUCUGCUGGUGAUUCUCCCUGAAAUAUAUUUGAUUGUAUACCUCACUUUUAAAAAGUGGAACCUAGAAGUGACUACAGAAUUCCAGGUAUGAUCUGAGCAGCACAUAGUACAGGAUGAAAAUGUUGCCCUUUGUUAUAGACUCUUUACUUUUAUUAGAGUCAGAGUUGGUUCAAUAUUUUGUGGCUUCAUGGUAUCAGAUUAAUUGUUGACUGAAACUCUCAAGGCUCUUAAAAAAUGUCAGCUGCCUUUAUAUCAAAUUUCUCCUCUUCAUGCACUGCAAGAUUUUAGGACUCAAAUUCUGGACUGUUAACCUUAUUAAAACAAAUUAUUUUUAGAUUUUACUUAUCAUCCCAGCCCAUCAAAAAUAUUGGGGCAUACGCAGGGCUGUGAGCUCUUUCUCCGGCAGAUCACCAGGACGCUAGGAAGCCCUCGCUAGGUUUGACAUCAAUCCAUUAAUGAGUAUUCUUUGGAUAUGAUUUCUGAAUAGUUAAUAACCCACUAAAGUGUUCUAGCAUCUGACCCAUUUUUCUCUAUGUUGAGCACAAGUGUAUCAUUAGAAACGCCACCAAUUGUUUCGCUACAGUCCAGACGCCUGAGUGGAAAUGUGUGAGCAUUGUCUUUAUCUGCCAGCCCCCCACUGAGGGAUGGAAAUGGGCCGGACUAACAGGAUGUGUUCUUGCGAACCCAUGCUGGGUCCUCUAAUCACUUCUUUGUCAUUUGGGGGCCUAUUAUAACAUCGCUUUAGUAAUACAUUCUGGAAUCUUGUCUGAGAUCCAUAUCGAGCUCAAUCACCCGUAGUUUACAGAUUCCAUUUUCUGUCCAUUUUAGAAAAUUGGAAGGAUGUUUACUCAUUUCCAGCCUUCUAAGAUCUCUUGACUUCUUCCUCAACAGCGUGCCUAUCCUGUCUCUGAUCUCCACCGUGUCCCAGAUAGAGCUGAAAGCUAUUUGUUUUUGGUUUUGCCUUUUUGGUGGUUUCCUGGCCUUCGGUCACUUUGAUAAAACACUCUCUUGUCACUUUCUUUCACAUCUCUGAAGUUUGUGUCCUUCCCACCCUGUCCUUUAAAAUCUGAGCUUCCAGAGCAGUGUUUUGCAACCAUAAGUAAAUAUUGGGGUCACUUGGGGAGACUAAAAAAUGACUUCUGCUGGUUUCCCACCUGAGACAAACUGAGUUAAAACUUCAAUAAGUAAUGGGAGCAUUUUUUUUUUUUUUAAGUCCCCCAGUGGACAGCCAAAGUUGGAACUAUAGUGGAGUGGCCUAUUAGUUUUCUUUGUUUCUGGUUUUGUGUGCUGGUUUUUGUUGUUUGUUUUAGAUUUUUUUUCCCCUCGGUAUCAUUGGUCUCACCUGUCUUGGCAUCGUGAGAUUAGAAUGUCUGAGAAAUUUCUGAAACAUUUUGAGAGCCAUGGACCGUCCCUCCUUACACCUUGAAAUUUUGCUUUUCUUUACCUUUGAAUCUUACCAGUAAAUCACUCUGUCUUCAUGUCUCUUGGCUCCCACGAUGUGAACUCAGUGACCUUUGCCCUAAGACUCCUUUCUCAUCCUCUUUGAUAAACAUUCCUUUACCCUAGUAGGCCAGAAUUAAACCUAAGACAGUAGUUUUUCCAUUUGUGUGCUUGAUCUGUUUGGAAAUGUAGCCGGGCUAGUUUUAGGCUGCUCUGCUUUGGGCCAAAUGAGGCUUUUAGUAGAUGUUUAUGGAGUUGAAAUCCAUCAUGACCACAUCAUGCUGGUAGUCACUUACAAAAAAUGUGUUGGGAACCUAUUACACUUUUCAUUUAUCUUGUCCAGUGUCCCAGUCUGUACAUUAGGGAUUCACAAAUCUAGUGGAUCCACUGCUUAGACAGUGGCAAAAAUACACAUUUUAGGAUGCGGCCCUGGAAUAUAUGAUUUAGUAGGGGCUCAAGAAAUUGCAUUUUAAAGUUCCCUUAAACAAUGUUGAUAAUUGGCCAGGUUUCAGAAGCACUGGCCUGAACCACAACAAUAUCCUUAUGUUCUUGUUCCCUUAUCUCUUGUCUCUUCAGCUGACAUCCACCCACAGGUCCAUGGAUUUUCACAAAGAUGUCUGUCUUGCUGGCAUGUGUUUUAGUCAAUUUCUUCCUCGAGCAGGCCUCUUUGUCUUGAAUAGAGCAUAUACUUCCAUCAGCAUUUUUCGAUUCUGUAUCUCUUCUUUCCCAAACUUGGUGAAACAAGUUCAUAUUUAUUGCCCUCUCUUGUAAGAAUUUCUUUCAAGUUAUCCCCAAUUCAUUUUGUUACUCAUGCUCUGCUGACUGUUCAUAAAGUAAGACUUCCAAGAUUAGAACAAUUUUUUUUCUGUUCCCAUCCCUGCUCAAUAGCUUUCUG
ensembl:lncRNA